GACAGAGGGUGCAAGCGUUGUUCGGAUUUAUUGGGCGUAAAGAGCGUGUAGGCGGCCAGGUAGGUCCGUUGUGAAAACUCGAGGCUCAACCUCGAGACGUCGGCGGAAACCCUCUGGCUAGAGUCCGGAAGAGGAGAGUGGAAUUCCUGGUGUAGCGGUGAAAUGCGCAGAUAUCAGGAAGAACACCCGUGGCGAAGGCGGCUCUCUGGGACGGUACUGACGCUGAGACGCGAAAGCGUGGGGAGCAAACAGG
rnacentral:rRNA from 1 species